GACGAACGCUGGCGGCGUGCCUAAUACAUGCAAGUAGAACGCUGAAGGAGGAGCUUGCUUCUCUGGAUGAGUUGCGAACGGGUGAGUAACGCGUAGGUAACCUGCCUGGUAGCGGGGGAUAACUAUUGGAAACGAUAGCUAAUACCGCAUAAUAGUAGAUGUUGCAUGACAUUUGCUUAAAAGGUGCAAUUGCAUCACUACCAGAUGGACCUGCGUUGUAUUAGCUAGUUGGUGGGGUAACGGCUCACCAAGGCGACGAUACAUAGCCGACCUGAGAGGGUGAUCGGCCACACUGGGACUGAGACACGGCCCAGACUCCUACGGGAGGCAGCAGUAGGGAAUCUUCGGCAAUGGACGGAAGUCUGACCGAGCAACGCCGCGUGAGUGAAGAAGGUUUUCGGAUCGUAAAGCUCUGUUGUAAGAGAAGAACGAGUGUGAGAGUGGAAAGUUCACACUGUGACGGUAUCAUACCAGAAAGGGACGGCUAACUACGUG
rnacentral:rRNA from 1 species